rnacentral:lncRNA from 1 species
UGAGGUAGCUAAGUGUUCCUUACUUCUGGGUUGUAUAUUCAACAAGGAACAGCUUGUGGUUUCUCAGUCUCAUUUCGAUUUUCUGCCACAAGCAACUAAAUUACAGACCUCCUUUGUGGGCUGACUGAAGUCAGCAUGGUGCCUGUAAAGUCCAGAGACAGCUCAAAUCCCCUGGAACUGUAGUCACAGACAGCUGUGAGCCACUGAGUGGGUGCUGGGAUUAGAGUCUGGAUCCUCUACACAAGCGGUACUGUCUGUUUGUGGGGUGAGAGUUGGGCAGGAUCUCUCAACCACCUGGAACUC